rnacentral:lncRNA from 1 species
CAUCACUUGGCUAUUGAGCUUGUGAAGGGGCAGGACAGUAAUGUUCUUCUACUUGUCAGCAGGUACAAGGGUUGUCCUAGAGCAGCUUGGGAAGAAGAGCCACGACUGCCAAUGACAAAAUCAAGUCCCCCUCCAGCUGGAAAAGGAAUGAAACCCCCCGGGGGAACCCCUGCCUGCUUUCUGAGUCCGCUCCUGGGAAAAAGGGAAACUGGAUGAGUCAGAGCUGCUCCUCGCUAUCCAGAGAUUAAUCUUUGCCCCAUUUUCUGAGAGCC